UACAGAGGGUGCAAGCGUUAAUCGGAUUUACUGGGCGUAAAGCGUGCGUAGGCGGUUUGCUAAGUCGGUUGUGAAAUCCCUGGGCUCAACCUGGGAACUGCAGUCGAUACUGGCGGACUAGAGUACGGUAGAGGGUGGCGGAACUCCGGGUGUAGCGGUGAAAUGCGUAGAUAUCCGGAAGAACACCGAUGGCGAAGGCAACCACCUGGGCCUGUACUGACGCUGAGGUACGAAAGCGUGGGGAGCAAACAGG
rnacentral:rRNA from 1 species